CGCCUCUUGUACAACACAAAUAAGAGGUCCCGCCUGCCCAGUGACCUUAAGUUCAACGGCCGCGGUAUUUUAACCGUGCAAAGGUAGCGAAAUCACUUGUUCUUUAAAUGAGGACCUGUAUGAACGGCAACACGAGGGCUGAACUGUCUCUUUUUUCUGGUCAAUGAAAUUGAUCUCCCCGUGCAGAAGCGGGGAUAAACCCAUAAGACGAGAAGACCCUGUGGAGCUUUAGACAAUAGAGACAGCCCUUGUCAAACCCCCUCAGCCAUGAGGUCGAACUGAUAGGACCCUUCUCUUAUGUCUUCGGUUGGGGCGACCGCGGGGACAAAAAAAACCCCCAUGUGGACUAAGAGCAUUCACACAUCUUAAACCAAAGAGCCACCGCUCAAUUUCGCAGAAAAUCUGACCUAAAGAUCCGGCAAAGCCGAUCAACGAACCAAGUUACCCCAGGGAUAACAGCGCAAUCCUCUUUAAGAGGCCCUAUCGACAAGAGGGUUUACGACCUCGAUGUUGGAUCAGGACAUCCUAAUGGUGCAGCCGCUAUUAAGGGUUCGUUUGUUCAACGAUUAAAGUCCU
rnacentral:rRNA from 1 species